rnacentral:rRNA from 1 species
AUGGGCGAAAGCCUGAUGCAGCAACGCCGCGUGAGGGACGACGGCCUUCGGGUUGUAAACCUCUUUUAGCAGGAAAGAAGCGAAAGUGACGGUACCUGCAGAAAAAGCGCCGGCUAACUACGUGCCAGCAGCCGCGGUAAUACGUAGGGCGCAAGCGUUAUCCGGAAUUAUUGGGCGUAAAGAGCUCGUAGGCGGUCUGUCGCGUCUGCUGUGAAAACCCGAGGCUCAACCUCGGGCCUGCAGUGGGUACGGGCAGACUAGAGUGCGGUAGGGGAGAUUGGAAUUCCUGGUGUAGCGGUGGAAUGCGCAGAUAUCAGGAGGAACACCGAUGGCGAAGGCAGAUCUCUGGGCCGUAACUGACGCUGAGGAGCGAAAGGGUGGGGAGCAAACAGGCUUAGAUACCCUGGUAGUCCACCCCGUAAACGUUGGGAACUAGUUGUGGGGUCCAUUCCACGGAUUCCGUGACGCAGCUAACGCAUUAAGUUCCCCGCCUGG